GAUGAACGCUGACAGAAUGCUUAACACAUGCAAGUCAACUUGAAUUUGGGUUUUUAACUUAGGUUUGGGUGGCGGACGGGUGAGUAACGCGUAAAGAACUUGCCUCACAGUUAGGGACAACAUUUGGAAACGAAUGCUAAUACCUGAUAUUAUGAUAAUAGGGCAUCCCAUAAUUAUGAAAGCUAUAAGCGCUGUGAGAGAGCUUUGCGUCCCAUUAGCUAGUUGGAGAGGUAACGGCUCACCAAGGCGAUGAUGGGUAGCCGGCCUGAGAGGGUGAUCGGCCACAAGGGGACUGAGACACGGCCCUUACUCCUACGGGAGGCAGCAGUGGGGAAUAUUGGACAAUGGACCAAGAGUCUGAUCCAGCAAUUCUGUGUGCACGAUGAGGUUUUUCGGAAUGUAAAGUGCUUUCAGUUGGGAAGAAAGAAAUGACGGUACCAACAGAAGAAGUGACGGCUAAAUACGUGCCAGCAGCCGC
rnacentral:rRNA from 1 species